UACGUAGGGUGCGAGCGUUAAUCGGAAUUACUGGGCGUAAAGCGUGCGCAGGCGGUUCGUUGUGUCGGCGGUGAAAGCCCCGGGCUCAACCCGGGAAUGGCCGUUGAAACUGGCGAACUGGAGUGUGGCAGAGGGGGGUGGAAUUCCGCGUGUAGCAGUGAAAUGCGUAGAGAUGUGGAGGAACACCAGUGGCGAAGGCGGCUUUCUGGUCUGUAACUGACGCUGAGGCGCGAAAGCGUGGGGAGCAAACAGG
rnacentral:rRNA from 1 species